UACGUAGGGAGCAAGCGUUGUUCGGAUUUACUGGGCGUAAAGGGCGCGUAGGCGGCGCGGUAAGUCACUUGUGAAAUCUCUGAGCUUAACUCAGAACGGCCAAGUGAUACUGCAGUGCUAGAGUGCAGAAGGGGCAAUCGGAAUUCUUGGUGUAGCGGUGAAAUGCGUAGAUAUCAAGAGGAACACCUGCGGCGAAGGCGGGUUGCUGGGCUGACACUGACGCUGAGGCGCGAAAGCUAGGGGAGCGAACAGG
rnacentral:rRNA from 1 species